CAAGGAGUCGUGGGGUGGGCUCAGCUGCUAAGGAGGCUGGCCUUUACUGGGUAUUUGGAGGGGCAAGGACACUUGCAGGGAUGGCAGCUGGUGGAGAUCCAGGCUUAGGAGAGGUGACAGACAGAGGGGCAUGUGUGCCCAUAGUGACAUUGCUUAGAAUGUAUGCCUCCUAACCACCUCACCCAUGGCCUCUCCACAGCCACACAGAAAGCAGAUUUCACCAUCGUUUCCUGGAUGGGAAUCUGGAGCUCCCAGCAUUUCUGAGGGGUUUGGUAUCGUCUAGUCCCAACACAAUGGCUCUGCACAAGGGCACCGUUCCCCUGCCUUUUAAAUCUCUGGCUUAAUGGUGCUUUGACCAGCCAUGCUACAGACUGUUCAUAGCCAAGACAAAGUGGCCACAUCCUUGCUCUCUUGUCCCGUCAAAAGAAGCCACUUUCUUUCUGGCUGUUUGUCUGGGGCCUGCUAGGCAGCAAGUGGUGAGCAAGCCUGUGACUACUCUUCAGUUUAGGCAGGAAGAGGACGGGAACUGCCAAAGUCUACAGGCAGUCACGGUGAGCAACAGGCACCGUGCACCACACACCUUUGUUUCAUUGCUAGCAAGACCCCUCCCUCCUUCCAAAGGCAACCCAAGCUCAUAACCUAAGCCCCAACAAGCCUUUUCCUGUAGGACACCAGCUGCUGCCGGAGCCCUCAUUCCAACACCCUUGCUAGCUGUGAACUGUACCGUGCUCUAGGCUUCACUGUCUAGAGCAUUCUCUGCCUGCUGGUAGCCAAGAGUCUGUGUUGUCUGUGCAGAUUUCCCUCCUUGGGAAUUUGGAAUGUCCAGAGGGCAGGAGACAUUUCCAAAAUUAGAGCUCUCAGACUCUGCAUGUGUUUUGAGGGGGACUGUAGCCCCUUCCUCUCAUCUCUCUAGAACAAGGACAAAGGUACUGAGAUCACAUGGACGAAUGAUUGAUUUAUGACCCAAGUGCAAAGGCAGUGAGUCACAGCAUCAGAGAGACCAGGCAAACCUCACUCUCCUCCCCACACAGUCCCCUGACACAGAGGACCUGUUGGGUGGCCAACACAAAGAUGGUACAGCGGACAGACAGGCACCUCCCUUCGGAGGUGGCUGUCCUCAUUUUUAAAAAGGCCCUUGAGGAUGAUACCUAAUCACAUGGGCUCAGAGGGUGAACUAUGGGUCAGGUCAGCUGUUCCCUAAGUACUGGGUGAGGUUGGCUUAGCAUCUCUCUGAACUGAGUAGGAGAGUCCAGUACUCCUCAGGAUAGUUCAAGUUCCCCCUGAGAGUGGGGCAGAGGGCAGGGCCUAUUGCCUCUGGGCUGUGCUCCUGUGUGCCUCAAGUCAGCUCAGUGUAGGAGUUCUGGCUGGCUUCACCCUGUGGUGAGGUGUCCAGCUCAGCCCUGUUCCUUGUUUCUACACAUAAACACAUAGGCACUUGCCCCCUUCAGAGACAGGGUCUCAGCAGCCUCCCCUCAAACUCUUCAUCUUCCUGCCUCUCCUGCUCCCUGUGAUCCCGGGAGUGCGCCACUGAACCUGGACACUCGGCUAUCUCUUGGCAUACAUCACAUCACAACUUAGCUACUUUGCAGAAGGCGUGGAUCCACAGAGGGGUUGAUUCAGCAAGGGUGCAAACAGCUA
rnacentral:lncRNA from 1 species